ACUGAAAAGCAUUAGCGUAUUUGCUAAGUGGUCUAUCAGCGGACAAUGGGACUCAGGCUCGUGCAUGAGACGACCCCAUGUUUUAAUUCUUUCAUCUUUGAACGGAUACAACGACUCCUGGUCGGAAUAUUAUCGCUUUUUUACGAGAAAAAUAGCAUAAAAAUUGAUUUUAAACAGCGGUUGACAUGCUUCGAAGUACGGUAAAGGAAUAUUUAGACAUUUUUUGUCACGAAAUGCGCCAUGCUCAUAAUCCUUCUUUACCAUUCGGAUAGUGUCUUGAACGCACGAACAAAACGCCGCUAUUUGGAUAUAACAAUGGAUUAUUUGGGACCAAACCAAUAUUUGUUUUUGAAGUAGAAGUCCUGGGAGUGCAUUCUGACGAAGACAGCAAAGGACCUAAGCCCUAGGACCAUGCCUCAGGACUACCUGGCCUGAUGACUACUUGCUGUCCCCAGUUGACCUGGUUGCGCUGCUGCUCCAGUUUCAGCUGUUCGGCCUGUGGCUAUGGAACCCUGACCUGUUCACCGGACGUGCUACCUGUCCCAGACCUGUUGUUUUCAACUCUCUAGAAACAGCAGGUGCGGUAGAGAUACUCUGAAUGAUCGACUAUGAAAAGCCAACCGACAUUUACUACUGAGGCUUACUUACAGCUGGCAAUCAUUAUGGACAUCCAGCACCUGAAACAGGAAGACGGAGGACGACUCAGAGACGACUAAGGGAAAUUAAUAUUUCAAAUGCAACAAAUAAAGACACCUCCAACCAGC
rnacentral:lncRNA from 1 species